GAUGAAGAACGUAGCGAAAUGCGAUACUUGGUGUGAAUUGCAGAAUCCCGUGAACCAUCGAGUCUUUGAACGCAAGUUGCGCCCGAAGCCAUUAGGCCGAGGGCACGCCUGCCUGGGUGUCACACGUCGUUGCCCCCCCAUCUACUCCUUCGGGAUUGCGGGGGGCGGAUGAUGGCCUCCCGUGCGCCUCGUCGCGCGGUUGGCAUAAAUGCCAAGUCCUCGGCGACGCACGCCACGACAAUCGGUGGUUGCGAAACCUCGGUUGCCCGUCGUGUGCGGUCGUCGCGCAUCGAGGGCUCGAAAAAAUUGCCGGGCUCCGGCUCGGCUUUCAACGCGACCCCAGGUCAGGCGGGGUUACUCGCUGAAUUUAAGCAUAUCAAUAAGCGGAGGA
rnacentral:misc_RNA from 1 species